rnacentral:lncRNA from 1 species
AGUGAGUAUGAGUCGCCGAUGUUGGUGACGCGAGACGAUGGUAUUUGUGUGUGUGUGUGGCCUCUUUAGGUCGAGAGGUGGAGGAUUGAGCAUGAGUCGCCGAUGUUGGUGACGCGAGACGAUGGUAUUCGUGUGUGUGUGUGGCCUCUUUGGGUCGAGAGGUGGAGGAGUGAGUGUGAGUCGCCGAUGUUGGUGACGCGGAAUAAUGGUGUGUGGGUGUGUGCGUGGCCUAUUAGGUCGAGAGGUGGAGAUAUGGGUAUGAGUCGCCGAUAUUGGUGACGUGGAAUGAAGGUGGUUGGGUGUGUGUGUGUGUGGCCUCGUGAGGUCGGGAGAUGGGGGGAAGAGUGUAUGAGUCGCCGAUGUUGGUGACAGGAGUUAAUGGAUGAUUGUUGGGUGGGUGGGGUUGUUUGGCCGUGCUAUUUCCUUGGAAUAGGACCUUGAUAAUUAGUGUAGGGAGAGGGUUAUGAGUUGUUUGGGGGUUGGGUAGGAUAAAUGCAUAUAGACAUUUCUGGAAAUUCUUGUCACUGCAUAUUACACUUACAACUUGAUUUUUAUCGUAUUGAGUUAUGUGAACUCACUUCUCAUCAUUCACAGGUGGAGUAAGAAUGGAAUUGGGAUCCGAGCGGCUGGUAACAGAGCCCCGUCGGUAGGCACAUAGGGCACAAGUUUUGUUUGUGAUUUAAAGUAGUUUGAAAGGAUGGUUUAGUCUGGAUAUUGAAUAUCUAGGAAUGUUUGAUAUUGUAUUACUAUGUGUUGUAGAGGUGGAGAUGUAUGUACAAUUGAUUUGGAACAUGGAAGGUGGACCAAUUUCUCU